UNUGACUUGAGUGCAGAAGGGGAGAGUGGAAUUCCAUGUGUAGCGGUGAAAUGCGUAGAUAUAUGGAGGAACACCAGUGGCGAAAGCGGCUCUCUGGUCUGUCACUGACGCUGAGGCUCGAAAGCGUGGGUAGCGAACAGGAUUAGAUACCCUGGUAGUCCACGCCGUAAACGAUGAGUGCUAGGUGUUAGGCCCUUUCCGGGGCUUAGUGCCGGAGCUAACGCAAUAAGCACUCCGCCUGGGGAGUACGACCGCAAGGUUGAAACUCAAAGGAAUUGACGGGGGCCCGCACAAGCGGUGGAGCAUGUGGUUUAAUUCGUAGCAACGCGAAGAACCUUACCAGGUCUUGACAUCCCGAUGCUAUUCUUAGAGAUAGGAAGUUACUUCGGUACAUCGGAGACAGGUGGUGCAUGGUUGUCGUCAGCUCGUGUCGUGAGAUGUUGGGUUAAGUCCCGCAACGAGCGCAACCCUUAUUGUUAGUUGCCAUCAUUAAGUUGGGCACUCUAGCGAGACUGCCGGUAAUAAACCGGAGGAAGGUGGGGAUGACGUCAAAUCAUCAUGCCCCUUAUGACCUGGGCUACACACGUGCUACAAUGGUCGGUACAACGAGUUGCGAGCCGGUGACGGCAAGCUAAUCUCUGAAAGCCGAUCUCAGUUCGGAUUGGAGGCUGCAACUCGCCUCCAUGAAGUCGGAAUCGCUAGUAAUCGCGGAUCAGCACGCCGCGGUGAAUACGUUCCCGGGCCUUGUACACACCGCCCGUCAUACCACGAGAGUUUGUAACACCCGAAGUCGGUGAG
rnacentral:rRNA from 1 species